GUCGAGCGCCCCUUAGGGGGAGCGGCAGACGGGUGAGUAACGCGUGGGAAUCUACCUUUUGCUACGGAAUAACGCAGGGAAACUUGUGCUAAUACCGUAUGUGUCCUUCGGGAGAAAGAUUUAUCGGCAAGAGAUGAGCCCGCGUUGGAUUAGCUAGUUGGUGGGGUAAAGGCCUACCAAGGCGACGAUCCAUAGCUGGUCUGAGAGGAUGAUCAGCCACAUUGGGACUGAGACACGGCCCAAACUCCUACGGGAGGCAGCAGUGGGGAAUAUUGGACAAUGGGCGCAAGCCUGAUCCAGCCAUGCCGCGUGAGUGAUGAAGGCCCUAGGGUUGUAAAGCUCUUUCACCGGAGAAGAUAAUGACGGUAUCCGGAGAAGAAGCCCCGGCUAACUUCGUGCCAGCAGCCGCGGUAAUACGAAGGGGGCUAGCGUUGUUCGGAAUUACUGGGCGUAAAGCGCACGUAGGCGGAUCGAUCAGUCAGGGGUGAAAUCCCAGGGCUCAACCCUGGAACUGCCUUUGAUACUGUCGAUCUGGAGUAUGGAAGAGGUGAGUGGAAUUCCGAGUGUAGAGGUGAAAUUCGUAGAUAUUCGGAGGAACACCAGUGGCGAAGGCGGCUCACUGGUCCAUUACUGACGCUGAGGUGCGAA
rnacentral:rRNA from 1 species